GGAGAAGGCCGGAUGGCCGCCGGUCCGCCGCAGGGCGGACGGGAGGAAAGUCCGGGCUCCGCAGGGCGGGAUGGUCCCUAACGGGGACCGGGGGUGACCCCAGGGAUAGUGCCACAGAGAGAAGACCGCUUCAACUUCGCUAAAGCUUUGUCGAACGAGCCGCAAGGCCUGUCCGCCGGAGCGCCGCUUGCGGUGCGAAGGAGGAGUAAGGGUGAAAGGGUGAGGUAAGAGCUCACCAGGUCCGGCGGUGACGCCGGAUGCUCGGUAAACCCCAUCCGGAGCAAGGCCGAAUAGGGAAGCGUUUGAGGACGGCCCGUCCGAAGCUUCCGGGUUGGCUGCUCGAGGCUGUCGGCAACGGCAGCCCUAGAUGAAUGGUCAUCGCCCGGAUCCGGGUAACCGGUUCCGGGAACAGAACCCGGCUUACGGCCCUCUCCAGCC
rnacentral:RNase_P_RNA from 1 species